UAUUGGUCAAUAGCCUAACGGGUGAACCAGCAACUUGGACGAAUGGAAAGGCGCGAGCCACAUGUGAUAAUACAUUAUUGCAACAGUAACUACGUUACAUAAAGUUCUAGAUAAGUAUUUGAUUAUGACAUAAUUUAUCUAUGAGUCUUGACCAAAUCACGUGCCAGCAGUCGCGGUAAUACGUGGAAGACAAGUGUUGUUCAUCUUUAUUUGGUUUAAAGGGUACCUAGACAGUUAAUCAAGCCUAAAACAUGGAACUAAUUAUACUAGAGUUUUAUGGGAGAAGGUUAGCACGAUGAGUGUAGAGAUGAAAUACGUUUAUACCAUCGAGAGACUGGCAACGGCGAAGGCAACCUUUUAUGUAAUAACUGACGUUGAGGGACGAAGGCUCGAUCGAAGAAACAGGAUUAGAUACCCAAGUACUGUGGGCAGACAAUGAUGAGUGUCAUAGACAAGUAAAUUAAUAAAAUAUAAAUAAGUAUUAUAUUAUAGUUUGUGUAUAAAUGAAAGUGUAAGCACUCCACCUCAAGAGUAACAUGGCAACAUAGGAACUGAAAUCAUUAGACCGUUUCUGAAACCAGUAGUGAAGUAUGUUGUUUAAUUUGAUGAUCCACAAAGAACCUUACCGCGCCUUGAAUAGAUUUCUUAAAAGAGAAAUUUACAGGAGUUGCACGGCUGUCCAGUUGAUAUCGUGAGAUUUUGGUUAAUUCCAUUAAAUCAACGUAAACCCUUACUUUAUUUUUUCUUAUAUAAAGUAGCUCGCCAAUUUUCAUUGGAUAAUAUAAUAG
rnacentral:rRNA from 1 species